rnacentral:misc_RNA from 1 species
GCAAACUUGGUCAUUUAGAGGAAGUAAAAGUCGUAACAAGGUUUCCGUAGGUGAACCUGCGGAAGGAUCAUUAAAGUAACGUUCUUUCUCGAAAGAACAUUAUCUUAUUCACCCCACUAUGUGCAUCUCUUAAGGGGCGGUACUGAAAAGUGCUGUCCUUUAUCAUAAAAACUCUUACUAUCUCAGAACGUUAUUGUAUAUAUAAAUUAAACAACUUUUAACAACGGAUCUCUUGGCUCUCGCAUCGAUGAAGAACGCAGC